UACGUAGGGUGCGAGCGUUAAUCGGAAUUACUGGGCGUAAAGGGCGCGUAGGCGGUUUGCUAAGUUGGAUGUGAAAACUCUGGGCUUAACCCAGAGCCUGCAUCCAAAACUGGCAAACUUGAGUACUGGAGGGGAAAGCGGAAUUCCUGGUGUAGCGGUGAAAUGCGUAGAUAUCAGGAGGAACACCGGUGGCGAAGGCGGCUUUCUGGACAGUAACUGACGCUGAUGCGCGAAAGCUAGGGGAGCAAACAGG
rnacentral:rRNA from 1 species